GGCCUGAUGGUCUAGUGGUAUGAUUGUCGCUUCGGGUUUUAACGCCUGGCUGCUUUGCGGCUAAAAUGUGACAGGCCCCGGGUUCGAAUCCCGGUCAGGCCC